AUUGAACGCUGGCGGCAUGCUUUACACAUGCAAGUCGAACGGUAACAGGUCUUCGGAUGCUGACGAGUGGCGAACGGGUGAGUAAUACAUCGGAACGUGCCUAGUAGUGGGGGAUAACUACUCGAGAGAGUAGCUAAUACCGCAUGAGAUCUACGGAUGAAAGCAGGGGACCUUCGGGCCUUGUGCUACUAGAGCGGCUGAUGGCAGAUUAGGUAGUUGGUGGGGUAAAGGCUUACCAAGCCUGCGAUCUGUAGCUGGUCUGAGAGGACGACCAGCCACACUGGGACUGAGACACGGCCCAGACUCCUACGGGAGGCAGCAGUGGGGAAUUUUGGACAAUGGGCGAAAGCCUGAUCCAGCAAUGCCGCGUGCAGGAUGAAGGCCCUCGGGUUGUAAACUGCUUUUGUACGGAACGAAAAGCCUGGGGCUAAUAUCCCCGGGUCAUGACGGUACCGUAAGAAUAAGCACCGGCUAACUACGUGCCAGCAGCCGCGGUAAUACGUAGGGUGCAAGCGUUAAUCGGAAUUACUGGGCGUAAAGCGUGCGCAGGCGGUUUUGUAAGACAGUGGUGAAAUCCCCGGGCUCAACCUGGGAACUGCCAUUGUGACUGCAAGGCUAGAGUGCGGCAGAGGGGGAUGGAAUUCCGCGUGUAGCAGUGAAAUGCGUAGAUAUGCGGAGGAACACCGAUGGCGAAGGCAAUCCCCUGGGCCUGCACUGACGCUCAUGCACGAAAGCGUGGGGAGCAAACAGG
rnacentral:rRNA from 1 species